rnacentral:lncRNA from 1 species
AGGAUCUAGAAAAAUGUUCUGCAAGAACAAGAGAAGGAUGCUCUUACCAAUAGGAGAUCCGCCAAUUCUAGUUUGCAAUUCUAUAAUAGAGGAGAAUUUACCUUUCCUUUGAUUUUUUCCUCUCAGAGAUAUCACCAUAGCCGAUAACCUAUAGGAACAUACGGAGAAUUGAAAAGAAGCUAUUAUGGAAAAAAAUAUGAAGGAUAAAACCUCACAACUAAUGAGAAUGAAUAUUAGACUGUCAACUGCAGGACCACUAAAGGCAACAAUCUGGCUCAUUUCUAUGUUUUGUAACUAUUUAAGUUGUAUAUCACCAAGUAAACAAAGUAUGACAACUCCAAGAGAAGUUUUGGCAAUAUUUUGGAGACAGAAACUUAUGCUAACAUGUAAUAAUAUGCACUAGUUCAAUGUAAACAGAUUGUUCUAAAUAGAAAUUGAUCCACAACAUAAACAAUUAAAUAAUAAUAAUAAGUAGCACUGUCAUCUACAAAAAAAUAAAAAUGUCCUGUUAUUGAGAAAAUUCCUAACGUCAUAUAGAAACACAAAACUCCGAUUUCCAAAAAUUCAGGAUGAAAGCACAUUCAAAAUCAUUGCCUAAAAAUUUUGAACAAUUUAACUUGUUCAAAAUGCAUUAGAUCACAUUAAGAAAACAAAACAUUAAGAUAAUGUCACGGUUAGAACUCAGCUUUGAUUCUCACGGCAACCAUAGCUCAUAAAAUGGAGAUUUCCAACUGAAAUCAACUGAAAAUAGUAACCAAAUAAAGAGAAAAUAUAAAGGGGUAGAGGGUGAAAGAGAAAAUUAGAAGAAAGAGAUGAGAAAAGCUUUUGAAUGAUUUCAACAAAGUUUACUGAAAUGAC